UGGUUUAAUUCGAUGCAACGCGAAGAACCUUACCAGGGUUUGACAUCCUGCGAACCCCUGAGAAAUCGGGGGGUGCCUUCGGGAACGCAGUGACAGGUGGUGCAUGGCUGUCGUCAGCUCGUGUCGUGAGAUGUUGGGUUAAGUCCCGCAACGAGCGCAACCCACGUCUUUAGUUGCCAGCAUUCAGUUGGGCACUCUAGAGAGACCGCCGGUGAUAAACCGGAGGAAGGUGUGGAUGACGUCAAGUCAUCAUGCCCCUUACAUCCUGGGCUACACACGUACUACAAUGCUACGGACAAAGGGCAGCGAACUCGCGAGGGCAAGCAAAUCCCAUAAACCGUAGCUCAGUUCAGAUCGUAGGCUGCAACUCGCCUACGUGAAGGAGGAAUCGCUAGUAAUCGCAGGUCAGCAUACUGCGGUGAAUACGUUCCCGGGCCUUGUACACACCGCCCGUAAGGG
rnacentral:rRNA from 1 species